GGCCGGUGCGGGGUGCUAUACUGCAAGUCGAGCGAAUGGAUUAAGAGCUUGCUCUUAUGAAGUUAGCGGCGGACGGGUGAGUAACACGUGGGUAACCUGCCCAUAAGACUGGGAUAACUCCGGGAAACCGGGGCUAAUACCGGAUAACAUUUUGAACCGCAUGGUUCGAAAUUGAAAGGCGGCUUCGGCUGUCACUUAUGGAUGGACCCGCGUCGCAUUAGCUAGUUGGUGAGGUAACGGCUCACCAAGGCAACGAUGCGUAGCCGACCUGAGAGGGUGAUCGGCCACACUGGGACUGAGACACGGCCCAGACUCCUACGGGAGGCAGCAGUAGGGAAUCUUCCGCAAUGGACGAAAGUCUGACGGAGCAACGCCGCGUGAGUGAUGAAGGCUUUCGGGU
rnacentral:rRNA from 1 species